rnacentral:rRNA from 1 species
AGUGAACGCUGGCGGUAGGCCUUACACAUGCAAGUCGAACGGCAGCACAGUAUGAGCUUGCUCUUACGGGUGGCGAGUGGCGGACGGGUGAGGAAUACAUCGGAAUCUACUUUUUCGUGGGGGAUAACGUAGGGAAACUUACGCUAAUACCGCAUACGACCUACGGGUGAAAGCAGGGGAUCUUCGGACCUUGCGCGAUUGAAUGAGCCGAUGUCGGAUUAGCUAGUUGGCGGGGUAAAGGCCCACCAAGGCGACGAUCCGUAGCUGGUCUGAGAGGAUGAUCAGCCACACUGGAACUGAGACACGGUCCAGACUCCUACGGGAGGCAGCAGUGGGGAAUAUUGGACAAUGGGCGCAAGCCUGAUCCAGCCAUACCGCGUGGGUGAAGAAGGCCUUCGGGUUGUAAAGCCCUUUUGUUGGGAAAGAAAAGCAGCAGGUUAAUACCGCGCUGUUCUGACGGUACCCAAAGAAUAAGCACCGGCUAACUUCGUG